rnacentral:rRNA from 1 species
CGCAUCUGUGCAUGCAGCAUAUCAAUAAGCGGAGGAAAAGAAACUAACAAGGAUUCCCCUAGUAACGGCGAGUGAAGCGGGAAGAGCUCAAAUUUGAAAUCUUAAAGGGUUUCCCUUUACGAAUUGUAGUUUAAAGAAGUGUUUUCUGUUGAGGUUUUGGUAAAAGUUCUUUGGAAUAGGACAUCAUAGAGGGUGAGAAUCCCGUAUUUGACCUUUACUUUCAACUUUGUGAUACACUUUCAAAGAGUCGGAUUGUUUGGGAAUGCAGUCCAAAAUGGGUGGUAAAUUUCAUCUAAAGCUAAAUAUUGGCGAGAGACCGAUAGCGAACAAGUACCGUGAGGGAAAGAUGAAAAGAACUUUGAAAAGAGAGUUAAACAGUACGUGAAAUUGUCAAAAGGGAAGCGUUUGACACCAGUGUUGUUUUUCUGAAAAUCAAUUAAAGAACUGUUUAUGCUAAGCUGUUUAGACUUUAUCAGCUAUCUGUUUAGUUUUGAGCUUUUCUUUAAUGCACUUUUCAGUUAACAAGUCAACAUCAAUUUCUUUUGCUGUAAAAAAGCUUGAGGAAGGUGGCUUGAGAUUCGUCUUAAGUGUUUAUAGCCUCUUGCCUAUGCAGUCGGAGAGAUUGAGGUCUGCAGCGUAGAUCCUUCGGGGCUAAAUGCAUUUGUGCUAAGUUAUAGCAUUUUAUAGACAACUUGUUGACUAUGAUUUGUCUUGUAGCUUACUCGCUUAUGUUAUUUUACCUACGCUUAGGAUGUUGAGUCGUAGAGCACGCAG